rnacentral:lncRNA from 1 species
CUCAGAUCCAUCCUCCUGAUCUCCGCGCGUCACUGUCUGAUUCCUGCUCUACGUUCUGUAGAGACGUCACCGCCACCUGACUUGUGCUGGUCACGACAGGACUGUGGCCGCUCACCAUGAAUUCCAGGCGCCCGUCAACGCUAAUGGAUUCAUCACUAUUACUAAGUCAGGCGCCCGACUUACUACGAGUUGGCACUAGCAGCGACGCCGAGGAAAGGUCACGUGGCCCAGCGGCCAUGCUCACUCUUCCCUGCAGAAAGGGACCUUCUGCCAAAGUCAGCGAGGGAAGCAGCCGAAGCGUCUGACUCACCCCCAGCACAGCCUUUGGCAACCGCGCCUUUCUGCAAAACACAGCACGUUUUUCAAAUUCCUCCAAAUAACUAUGAUAACAAUAAAGAGAUGCUCAGGGAGAGGAGGGAGACUGCUGUCCCCAGCCUGCUCUGUGGCACGUCCCCAGGGCCAUACUCCAGCUCCUGCACUGUUGGCUAAUUUCUGGUCAGUUGGGAAGGAGCCAGCAGUCGGAAUGGAGCUCUGGUCCUGGGGAAAGAUCUCGGGGGCUGGUACUGGAUUCUGUCUGUUUGGCUCCUCGACCAAGUGCCUCUUCCUAGUCACUGUCCAAAGCACCACAGAUUGGGCAGUGAUUCACUCUCUGGUGAUCAGGGCUCAUUCUAAAGAUUAUCCUGUGGGAUCAACUGAAAGCUAAGAAACAAAAUAUAUAACGGCCGCAUCCACAGCAUGUGGACUGCAUCCGAACUUCACUGCCCCUGCGGCAGAGCCAGAUUCUCUAACCCACUUUGCUGGACCACGGAUUGAACCCGAGUCUCCUCCGAAGUGACUGGAGCCGCUGCAGUCAGGUUCUUGACCAAAUGCACAACACUGGGAACUCCGAUAGCUGAAAAUUUAAAAUACCAUCCUGUCCCAUCAAAAUCUCUGCAGAGGACAUCAGCCUCUGAUUGUUACUGACAUGAAACAAUUAAUUUAAUAAAAAUCAUCCCUUAUUAAUGUAUUUUCCUGUG